rnacentral:tRNA from 1 species
GCGCCUGUAGCUCAAAAGGAAAAGAGCGAUCGCCUUCUAAGCGAUAGGUAACGGGUUCGAAUCCCGUCAGGCGCG